GUGAACAUUACCGUUGAGGAGCAAUGGUCCCCCGCAAAAGCCAAGUGCACCUUUACGCAGUACAUCCCCUACAAGCAAGACAAGUGGGUCAUGAAGUUUCGGUUGGCAGCUGACGUCGACAGCAAGUUGGUAUGGAUAAGAUGGCCAGACAGUUCACGGUGAAAGCAGCUACCCAACGAUGGCCCGUUACCGUAUUCUACAACCUGCUUGACCUGGCUGCUAUCAACGCGCACGUUUUGUUCACCCUGUGCACCCGUAAGACAAUCCCGAGGAGAGAUUUCAUCAUGUAGUUGGCAUUGGAGCUUCGUGAGAACCACAUGAGCGCCAGGGGCAGGGCAGCAGCAGCGCACGAUGUCCCAAAUGACGAACCACCGCUCUCCGAGAAGAGACAGUGCCAGGUGCACGGAUGCAUGCGGAACAUAAACUGCGACUUCUGCGGGACCUGUAAGCGAUUUGUCUGCGGAAAGUGCUCAUUCCAGAAUAAAGAUUUUGUCGACGAUUUGUGUUGACUGUCAUGACAUGUUACUGUAAGAGUCUUCUGCGUAAAGGAGUAAGUGCUGCUAUGCAUAAAGGCGCACAUGCCCGAGAGCGGCCACAACGAGUUCAUUAAUGACUGACACCAGUACAGGCUGUUUAUACGACUGACGCUUGUUAUAUGCUUGUUAUAUUAUUUUAUAAUACCGUUAUUGGUUUACAUUUGCUCGUUGUACACUUCAUUGAGCUGACUCUAGGCCCAUUUAGCCCUAUUGACAGUGCAUAUUUUGGAUACACCUAUAACCUACUAGGUAGACUACCUAGACUAACAUAAGAAAGGCUGGUAUAAAAAUAAUAUGCUUUUAAAUUACUGUGAAUGUGAUUUGUGUAUUGUUCUUUUCGUUAAAACCUACAAAUAAAAUGGAAUUACCAUUGA